UCAAGCAAUAUGCUUGGGCCUGAGCCCAAGUUCCAUUCAGCCUAAGACCAAUCCUAUGUCACAUAACCGAAUUUCCAGGGUAAAAACAUUCAGCGCAAAAAGUUCGAUGAACAUGAUCCCAGAAUUUCACUUCCUCAAAACAAAACCAAAUCGCACCCCUGAGUUAAUACGCACUGGAUCUAGGUCGAAAAUGGAGUGAUGCUCCUUCGCGAUGCAAGAAUCUCGUUUCACCGGAAUUCAAACGGCUCGUUUUGACGCGGGUAGAAGAGAUUCAAAAGGAGAAGAAUUACUUACCGACUUGCUAAGACACGGUAGCUCCGACAACGAGUUCCUUCAUUUUUUCUUCCGUUUGCGCAGUUAAGGGCGAGGAGUUGAGUGUUAGAAGAUGAAAGUUGCAGGGGUGAACCGACCUUUUCGCGAAUUGCCCUUUGAAGGAAUCCCGAUGAUGAAUGACGAAAAGAGAAGCUAUUCAAAUGUUUCUCUUCGAUCCCCGAUUGUGAAAAAGGUGAAAGCUUUCUUGUUUUCGAAUUGCAGUGCCUAUGUCAUCUUCUCUCUUCUUCUCUUUCUCCGCUCUACCCUUCUUCUGCGUUCUUUCUGUUAUGUUGUUUCUGCUGUGUGCGGUUAGGUUGAAGAAGAUUGGAUUUUUGCAGGAUGAGUCGAAUGUGGCAGAAAAACGGUUAUCGAUCCCUUGAGUUGUUGCAGGGUGAUUAUGGAGUUAGAAGGUCGAUUGAAGGUUUGUUACAGGUCGGAUUGAAGAAUUUGAGUAUGUGGAUUGAAGGUUGCAAGGUUGAAGAUGGAAUGAAGGUUUCGGUGAGGGUGAAGAGUUGAGGGAGAGGAACUCGAUUAUGAAGAUUAGAGGAGGUGGUUGGGAUUAUUCUGCAGGUUGCAGAAUGGUGGUUUUGUUGAAGAAGAAUAGGAUGAUGAUGAUGAUGGGUGAGGUUGGAGAAGAGGUUAUGGAGGAUGAAGUUAUGGUUGUGAAUUGAAGAUGGAGUGAAGUUGUUGAGGAAGUGAAAAGUGUGAUGGAGGAUGGUUGAAUUUCUAUUGCGAGAGAGUGUGGGAUUGGUUCCUGUUCUGGAGUAAUUCUGCAGGAGAUUUUUGUUGUUGUUGAAGGAAGUGAGAGGAAGUUGGGUUAAAGGUUUUGUUAGUAUCCCGUUUUCUGUCUGUUACAGGUUUUCUGAAGGUAGUUAUGGGGGGAAAGUUCGGUUGAGAUUUUUGACGGUUUUAGAAGUUGAAGUCAGUUACGGUAUGUUGUCGUUCUGUUGCAUCAAAGAUGAUGAAUUGGGGGGGUUAAGAAGUUUGUUGAAGUUUAAAAUUCGGUUAUCCCGGAGCUUGUUACAGGUUUCAGUUAGCCGGUGGUUAUAGCAGUUGGUUGAAUGAUUAUCAGAUGUGGUUUUUAGCAAAGUCAGUUAGCAGGGAUGUGUGUUAUGUUAUGGGAGUCUCAAGUUGGUUGGAAUUUUCGACCGUGAAUGGUCGAUUUCUCAAAUCGAAAGCUUCUGUCAUUCACUAUUUAUUAGACAUGAAGAAGCAUUUGAGUGGAAAGUGCAGUGAAGAGCAGAGAAUAAAAUCAAGGGCGUUCUUUCACGUUAUCUUCUCUAUACACUUUUCUUUGUCAAUGGUGUUCAUGGUUUCUUUCACGUUAUCAACAACAAUUAUCACACCUAGCACAACCGCACCAACAGCAGUAUAACCACGUCUUCCACCGGCAGCAGGACGCCACUGGUAAUUACACUCAGCUCACUUAUGAUCAUCCAUGAGAAUUUCGUAUGCUUCGGAAACCUGUUUGAAUCGAGUCGUUGCAUUGUCUUUUACAGCUUUUGGUGAUUGGGAAUGCUUAUUCGGAUGAAAUUAGAAUGCGAGUUUUCUUGGAUACCGAUUUGAUUUCUUUUUAGAUGUUUUUUUGGGAUUUUGGAGUUUAGUACAGAGUGUUUGGAUUUGGGAUUUUGGUUUUAGGGUCUGGUAAUUGUAACUUGACUUUAGUUUGAAAUGUUUGUUUUUUUGAAUGCAUAAAUUGACUUGAAAUAUGUAUAUAUGAUUGCAUUAGAAAAUGGUUUGGAAUGUUUGUAAUUGAGUUUUGGUUGUGAUCAUAUGAUGUAAAAAAAAUGAAUUUGGAACCUCAGAACUGGAAUUGCAUGUGAAAUUUUGUAAUUGGCA